rnacentral:rRNA from 1 species
AAUAGAUACCCUGGUAGUCCACGCCGUAAACGAUGUCGACUUGGAGGUUGUUCCCUUGAGGAGUGGGCUUCCGGAGCUAACGCGUUAAGUCGACCGCCUGGGGAGUACGGCCGCAAGGUUAAAACUCAAAUGAAUUGACGGGGGCCCGCACAAGCGGUGGAGCAUGUGGUUUAAUUCGAUGCAACGCGAAGAACCUUACCUACUCUUGACAUCCAGAGAACUUAGCAGAGAUGCUUUGGUGCCUUCGGGAACUCUGAGACAGGUGCUGCAUGGCUGUCGUCAGCUCGUGUUGUGAAAUGUUGGGUUAAGUCCCGCAACGAGCGCAACCCUUAUCCUUUGUUGCCAGCGGUUCGGCCGGGAACUCAAAGGAGACUGCCAGUGAUAAACUGGAGGAAGGUGGGGAUGACGUCAAGUCAUCAUGGCCCUUACGAGUAGGGCUACACACGUGCUACAAUGGCGUAUACAAAGAGAAGCGACCUCGCGAGAGCAAGCGGACCUCAUAAAGUACGUCGUAGUCCGGAUUGGAGUCUGC